rnacentral:rRNA from 2 species
AGAGUUUGAUCAUGGCUCAGAACGAACGCUGGCGGCAGGCUUAACACAUGCAAGUCGAGCGCCCCGCAAGGGGAGCGGCAGACGGGUGAGUAACGCGUGGGAACGUACCUUUUGCUACGGAAUAACUCAGGGAAACUUGUGCUAAUACCGUAUGUGCCCUUCGGGGGAAAGAUUUAUCGGCAAAGGAUCGGCCCGCGUUGGAUUAGCUAGUUGGUGAGGUAAAGGCUCACCAAGGCGACGAUCCAUAGCUGGUCUGAGAGGAUGAUCAGCCACACUGGGACUGAGACACGGCCCAGACUCCUACGGGAGGCAGCAGUGGGGAAUAUUGGACAAUGGGCGCAAGCCUGAUCCAGCCAUGCCGCGUGAGUGAUGAAGGCCCUAGGGUUGUAAAGCUCUUUCACCGGUGAAGAUAAUGACGGUAACCGGAGAAGAAGCCCCGGCUAACUUCGUGCCAGCAGCCGCGGUAAUACGAAGGGGGCUAGCGUUGUUCGGAUUUACUGGGGCGUAAAGCGCACGUAGGCGGACUUUUUAAGUCAGGGGUGAAAUCCCGGGGGCUCAACCCCCGGAAACUGCCUUUGAUACUGGAAGUCUUGAGUAUGGUAGAAGGUGAGUGGAAAUUCCGAGUUGUAGAGGUGAAAUUCG